UAAUCAAUGUAUCAUCUCAAUUUUGAGAUAAGUAAUUUGGACGGAGGGAGUAUUUAUCUCUAUUAUUAUUAUUAUUAUUAUUAGGAAUACCUUUCCUUCUUCAAUUUUGUCAGGUAAAAUAGAGAGAGAGAUCAGAAUUUUGAUUCAUCAAAAAAAUGGGAUACGUACUAAGGGUUCGAUUUGCAGCAUUCUUCGCCGGAGCAGCGGUGGCGUCUGCCGGCGGCUUCUACUUUCUCCGGAAGGAUUACCAAAUCGCCCACCAUUCCAUGUCUCAACAGGUGAAUGAUGUCUAUGAAUCUCUGAAUGGACGCAUUUCCACUUUGGAAAGGCUGAAAGAAGCGGAUGCCGCGAAACACGUGGAAGCUACCGAGUAGAUGUUCUAAGAGAUUUCCAAUGGAUACAUGUCAAGUUGAGACAUCAAAAUAGACUCCAUAGGUUGUAGUUGCUCUUUGAUUCCAUUGUGAUGUAUUUGACUUGCUACUUGAAGUUCAGUUUUUCUUUUGUUUUGCCGUAUGACGGGCCAAAAGACGCAUUUUCCCGAGGCGGUAAUGAGAACCUAAAGUCAAGUUUGACCCUUUCGGUUUCUGAACUUUGGAAUUAUACUUGUGCGCUUCUUCAAUAAGAUGAAAGCUUAAACAAUUGAUUUGGA